rnacentral:rRNA from 1 species
CUCUUGACACCCAUAAGAGGUCCAGCCUGCCCAGUGACACAAUUUAACGGCCGCGGUAUCCUAACCGUGCGAAGGUAGCAUAAUCACUUGUUCUCUAAAUAAGGACUAGUAUCAACGGCAUCACGAGGGCUAUACUGUCUCCUUUCUCCAAUCAGUGAAACUAAUCCCCCCGUGAAGAAGCGGGGAUUUGAAUAUAAGACGAGAAGACCCCAUGGAGCUUAAAGCACUAUAUUCACCACCUUUCUCUUACAACAACUUAAUUCUAAGACCUGAAUAUUAGCUUUUGGCUGGGGGGGCCGCGGAGUAAAACCCAACCUCCGCAACAAAUGGGCUACGCCCUUAUCUAAGAGUUACGACUCUAAGAAUCAACAAACUGAUGUACCUUGACCCGAAUAAUCGAUCAACGAACCAAGUUACCCUGGGGAUAACAGCGCUAUCUACUUCAAGAGCUCAUAUCGACAAGUAGGUUUACGACCUCGAUGUUGGAUCAGGGUAUCCCAGUGGUGCAGCCGCUACUAACGGUUCGUUUGUUCAACGAUUAAAACCCUACGUGAUCUGAGUCA